rnacentral:rRNA from 1 species
UAGAGGAAGUAAAAGUCGUAACAAGGUUUCCGUAGGUGAACCUGCGGAAGAUCAUUAAUGAAAUUUUGAAAUGGGUUGUAGCUGGUCUCUCCGGAGGCUGUGCACGCCCUAUUCAUCCACUUCACACACCUGUGCACCCACUGUAGGUGGUUUUAGAGGGGGCUAACUCCCCCCCCGCGGACCUUCCUAUGUUUUUAUACAAACCAUCGAGUCAUAGAAUGUGAUCGCGUGUAACGCAUCUUAUAAACUUUCAGCAACGGAUCUCUUGGCUCUCGCAUCGAUGAAGAACGCAGCAAAUGCGAUAAGUAAUGUGAAUUGCAGAAUUCAGUGAAUCAUCGAAUCUUGAACGCACCUUGCGCUCCUUGGUAUUCCGAGGAGCAUGCCUGUUUGAGGUCAUGGAAUUCUCAACUCCCCCUCAUCUUUGUGUGAGUGGUGGGGCUUGAUUUGGAGGUCUUUUAUGCUGGACGUUAUCUGUUCGGCUCCUCUUGAAGCAUUAGCUUUGAACCUUUGUGGAUCGGCUGUCUGGCGUGAUAAUUGUCACGCCGCGUCGUGAAGCGUUUCAUAGGAUCGGCUUCUAAUUGUCCCCUGGGACACACUUUGACCUUCUGACCUCAAAUCAGGUAGGAUUACCCGCUGACUUAAGCAUAUCAA